rnacentral:tRNA from 1 species
GCGUCGGUAGCUCAAUUGGUAGAGCGCUGGUCUCCAAAACCAGUCGGUGUAGGUUCGAAUCCUACCCGUCGUG